AACGUAGGUCACAAGCGUUGUCCGGAAUUACUGGGUGUAAAGGGAGCGCAGGCGGGAAGACAAGUUGGAAGUGAAAUCCAUGGGCUCAACCCAUGAACUGCUUUCAAAACUGUUUUUCUUGAGUAGUGCAGAGGUAGGCGGAAUUCCCGGUGUAGCGGUGGAAUGCGUAGAUAUCGGGAAGAACACCAGUGGCGAAGGCGGCCUACUGGGCACCAACUGACGCUGAGGCUCGAAAGUGUGGGUAGCAAACAGG
rnacentral:rRNA from 1 species